rnacentral:rRNA from 1 species
AACGAACGCCAGCGGCGUGGAUUAGGCAUGCAAGUCGAACGUGAUCCAAGGGGAAACUCUUGGUGAAAGUGGCGGAAGGGUGAGUAAUGCAUAGAUAACCUACCCCGAAGACUGGGAUAACUUCCCGGAAGGGAUGCUAAUACCGGAUGGCCUCGCUUGGGCACCUGCUCGAGCGAGUAAAGGGGGCCUCUUCACAAUGCUCCCGCUUCGGUGAGGGGUCUAUGUCCUAUCAGCUAGUUGGUGAGGUAACGGCUCACCAAGGCUUCGACGGGUAGCCGGCCUUAGCGGGUGUCCGGCCACACUGGGACUGAGACACUGCCCAGACUCCUACGGGAGGCUGCAGUCGAGGAUCUUCUGCAAUGGGCGCAAGCCUGACAGAGCGACGCCGCGUGUGGGAUGAAGGCCUUCGGGUUGUAAACCACUGUCACCAGUUAUGAAGAGAUACGGUGUGAAUAACAUCGUGUUUUGACAAAGGCUGGAGAGGAAGCCACGGCUAACUUCGUGC